rnacentral:rRNA from 1 species
GGGUGAGUUCGCGUCUGAUUAGCUAGUUGGUGAGGUAACGGCCCACCAAGGCGACGAUCAGUAGCCGACCUGAGAGGGUGAUCGGCCACACUGGAACUGAGAAACGGUCCAGACUCCUACGGGAGGCAGCAGUGGGGAAUAUUGGGCAAUGGGCGAAAGCCUGACCCAGCAACGCCGCGUGAAGGAAGAAGGUUUUCGGAUUGUAAACUUCUGUCCUCAGGGAAGAAGGAAGUGACGGUACCUGAGGAGGAAGCCCCGGCUAACUACGUGCCAGCAGCCGCGGUAAUACGUAGGGGGCGAGCGUUGUCCGGAAUGACUGGGCGUAAAGGGCGCGUAGACGGCUGUCUAAGUCUGGAGUGAAAGUCCUGCUUCCAAGGUGGGAAUUGCUUUGGAGACUGGAUGGCUUGAGUGCGGAAGAGGUAAGUGGAAUUCCCAGUGUAGCGGUGAAAUGCGUAGAGAUUGGGAGGAACACCAGUGGCGAAGGCGACUUACUGGGCCGUAACUGACGUUGAUGCGCGAAAGCGUGGGGAGCGAACAGGAUUAGAUACCCUGGUAGUCCACGCGGUAAACGAUAAUGCUAGGUGUAGCGGGUAUCGACUCCUGCUUGCCGGAUUACACAAAUAA